AUUGAACGCUGGCGGCAGGCAUAACACAUGCAAGUCGAGCGGAGUGAUGGUGCUUGCACUAUCACUUAGCGGCGGACGGGUGAGUAAUGCUUAGGAAUCUGCCUAUUAGUGGGGGACAACAUCUCGAAAGGGAUGCUAAUACCGCAUACGUCCUACGGGAGAAAGCAGGGGAUCACUUGUGACCUUGCGCUAAUAGAUGAGCCUAAGUCGGAUUAGCUAGUUGGUGGGGUAAAGUCCUACCAAGGCGACGAUCUGUAGCGGGUCUGAGAGGACGGUCCGACACACUGGGACUGAGACACGGCCCAGGCUCCUACGGGAGGCAGCAGUGGGGAAUAUUGGACAAUGGGGGGAACCCUGAUCCAGCCAUGCCGCGUGUGUGAAGAAGGCCUUAUGGUUGUAAAGCACUUUAAGCGAGGAGGAGGCUCUUUUGGUUAAUACCCAAGAUGAGUGGACGUUACUCGCAGAAUAAGCACCGGCUAACUCUGUGCCAGCCGCCGCGGUAA
rnacentral:rRNA from 1 species